GAUGAACGCUGGCGGCGUGCCUAAUACAUGCAAGUCGAGCGAACAGACGAGGAGCUUGCUCCUCUGACGUCAGCGGCGGACGGGUGAGUAACACGUGGAUAACCUACCUAUACGACUGGGAUAACUUCGGGAAACCGGAGCUACUACCGGAUAAUAUAUUGAACCGCAUGGUUCAAUAGUGAAAGACGGUUUUGCUGUCACUUAUAGAUGGAUCCGCACCGCAUUAGCUAGUUGGCAAGGUAACGGCUUACCAAGGCAGCGAUGCGUAGCCGACCCGAGAGCGUGGUCGCACACACUGGAAGAGAGGCACGGUCCAGACUCCUACGGGAGGCAACGGUAGGGAAUCUUCCGCGAUGGGCGAAAGCCUGACGGAGCAACGCCGCGUGAGCGAUGAAGGUCUUCGGAUCGUAAAACUCUGUUAUUAGGGAAGAACAAAUGUGUAAGUAACUAUGCACAUCUUGACGGUACCUAGUGAGAAAGCCACGGCUAACUACGUG
rnacentral:rRNA from 1 species